AAUUAGUUGAGCACAGGAGCCUUUCAGGUUUAAAGUAGAAGGUUAAAACCUUGAAGUCCCUCCUGACAUGGACUAGGUGGCCUCUCUAGAACCGGAUGAGGAUGUUAACCCAAAAGAGAUGGAAUGAUGUGAAGGGAGCCAGACAUCCAAAGGAUACAGCAGAGCCGAAGCAGUUCUUUAAAAGGGCCAAAAAGUGGGCAUGAGCAGGGGUUCCACUGGAGAUUUUGGGCCCCAUGAAAGCACAUCAUAUUGGGCCCCCAACCCAGGUCAAUCCGAUU